UCCCAUUAAAAGCCGCAUUGUGAAUAAGAAAACGGUGAGGAAGAUCUAGUCCCUCUUCAAUAAAUACUAAUUUCAUAUUUGAGUGUCUUCAUUAUGGAUAAACACAAGACAGCAAGGAAUCAUGAACUCUACUUUAAAUCACAAAUCUGGUACGCAAAUUGCUUCCGCAUUAUUAAUAGUUGGUGCUCUAAAUUUAUGUACUAGAUCUAUUAAUUUCUUACAAUUUGUUGCACAGUUUAUGGAAUUUGGAUAUUCCUGUUUAGGUAAAAGAACUUUUGUGGAGGGCUUUUAAUGAAAAUUUUAUGCAUAAAGGUUAAUCUUGUUUUAUAAGAAGAUUUAGACGACAAUUUCCUUUUUACCGGACAGUUUAUAGCUUCAUGUGAUGCUUCUUUGGUUGAAGCAAUAGCGCUUCAAUCUUGUUUACAGUGGAUUGAGUCUCAUUUAUUUGAUCCAGUUGUGUUUUUAUUGACUCCUAAAUUAUUGUUCAUGCUUUGUGUUCUUUGAUGGA